rnacentral:rRNA from 1 species
UACGUAGGUGGCAAGCGUUGUCCGGAUUUAUUGUGCGUAAAGCGCGCGCAGGCGGUUUCUUAAGUCUGAUGUGAAAGCCCUCGGCUUAACCGAGGAGGGUCAUUGGAAACUGGGAGACUUGAGUGCAGAAGAGGAAAGUGGAAUUCCAAGUGUAGCGGUGAAAUGCGUAGAGAUUUGGAGGAACACCAGUGGCGAAGGCGACUUUCUGGUCUGUAACUGACGCUGAGGCGCGAAAGCGUGGGGAGCAAACAGG